rnacentral:rRNA from 1 species
GUGGGGAAUUUUGGACAAUGGGCGCAAGCCUGAUCCAGCCAUGCCGCGUGCAGGAUGAAGGCCUUCGGGUUGUAAACUGCUUUUGUACGGAACGAAACGGCUCUUUCUAAUAAAGAGGGCUAAUGACGGUACCGUAAGAAUAAGCACCGGCUAACUACGUGCCAGCAGCCGCGGUAAUACGUAGGGUGCGAGCGUUAAUCGGAAUUACUGGGCGUAAAGCGUGCGCAGGCGGUGAUGUAAGACAGAUGUGAAAUCCCCGGGCUCAACCUGGGAACUGCAUUUGUGACUGCAUCGCUGGAGUGCGGCAGAGGGGGAUGGAAUUCCGCGUGUAGCAGUGAAAUGCGUAGAUAUGCGGAGGAACACCGAUGGCGAAGGCAAUCCCCUGGGCCUGCACUGACGCUCAUGCACGAAAGCGUGGGGAGCAAACAGGAUUAGAUACCCUGGUAGUCC